rnacentral:rRNA from 1 species
UAGUUUUUUUAAAGGUAAUUUCUGCCCUAUGAUUGAUUUUAAAUGGCUGCAGUAUAUUGACUGUACAAAGGUAGCAUAAUAAUUAGUUUUUUAAUUGAGGACUGGAAUGAAAGGAUAAAUGAGGGAUUUUUUUUAUUAGGUUUAUUAUUCGAAUUUUAUUUUUUGGUAAAAAAGCUAAAUCUUGUUUUAGGGACGAGAAGACCCUAUAGAACUUUAAAUAUAAGUUUAAUUUAUUUUAUUUAGUUUUAUUUAAAUGUAAAUUAAUUAAUAUUUUUAAUUGGGGUGAUUGGUAAAUUUGUUUAACUUUAUUUUGUUAAUUCAUUUAUUUAUGUUGAAUCGAUCCUUAGUAAGGAGUAUAAGUUAAGUUACCUUAGGGAUAACAGCGUAAUUUAAAUUUGAAGUUCAUAUUUAUAUUUAAGUUUGCGACCUCGAUGUUGAAUUAAGAUAAGUUUAAGGUGCAG